rnacentral:rRNA from 1 species
UAAUACGGAGGGUGCAAGCGUUAAUCGGAAUUACUGGGCGUAAAGCGCACGCAGGCGGUUUGUUAAGUCAGAUGUGAAAUCCCCGGGCUCAACCUGGGAACUGCAUUUGAAACUGGCAAGCUAGAGUCUCGUAGAGGGGGGUAGAAUUCCAGGUGUAGCGGUGAAAUGCGUAGAGAUCUGGAGGAAUACCGGUGGCGAAGGCGGCCCCCUGGACGAAGACUGACGCUCAGGUGCGAAAGCGUGGGAGGCAAACAGGAUUAGAUACCCUGGUAGUCCACGCUGUAAACGAUGUCGAUUUGGAGGUUGUGCCCUUGAGGCGUGGCUUCCGGAGCUAACGCGUUAAAUCGACCGCCUGGGGAGUACGGCCGCAAGGUUA